rnacentral:rRNA from 1 species
AUGGAUCUAAGCCCCGCACUUAUCUGUUGGAACAUUCGUGGCCUCAACAACCCGGCCAAAAGGAAGGCAGUCAAGGAGUUCAUUGGCACUGCCAAGUGUAGCCUAGUGUGCUUGCAGGAAACGAAAUUGGAUGUAAUAGAUCAGUACACUAUCAUGCAAUGUUUAGGGCCAUCUUUUGAUGGUUUUGCUUAUGUGCCUUCGGUGGAAACUCGUGGAGGCAUUCUGCUGGCUUGGGACUCC